CAUCGCAGGCUUGUAACGGUAACAGCGGCGAGUGAGCGGCAAAAGCUCAAAUUUGAAAUCUGGCACCUUCGGUGUCCGAGUUGUAAUUUGAAGAAGGUAACUUUGGAGUUGGCUCUUGUCUAUGUUCCUUGGAACAGGACGUCACAGAGGGUGAGAAUCCCGUGCGAUGAGAUGCCCAAUUCUAUGUAAAGUGCUUUCGAAGAGUCGAGUUGUUUGGGAAUGCAGCUCUAAGUGGGUGGUAAAUUCCAUCUAAAGCUAAAUAUUGGCGAGAGACCGAUAGCGAACAAGUACAGUGAUGGAAAGAUGAAAAGAACUUUGAAAAGAGAGUGAAAAAGUACGUGAAAUUGUUGAAAGGGAAGGGCUUGAGAUCAGACUUGGUAUUUUGCGAUCCUUUCCUUCUUGGUUGGGUUCCUCGCAGCUUACUGGGCCAGCAUCGGUUUGGAUGGUAGGAUAAUGACUAAGGAAUGUGGCUCUACUUCGGUGGAGUGUUAUAGCCUUGGUUGAUACUGCCUGUCUAGACCGAGGACUGCGUCUUUUGACUAGGAUGUUGGCAUAAUGAUCUUAAGCCACCCGUCUUGAAACACGGACCACAA
rnacentral:rRNA from 1 species